GUCUCUCGCUCCCACCAGAGCUUGGAAUCCGUCUCUGCUCUUCUGCAUUCUCCACCUCGGGAGCCCCUGGGGACUCUGUGACGGCCUCUGUUGCCCUGUGAUCUGCAGGUCCGGAGAGACGCACAGCUAAGAUGUCAGGACAUCCUGGAAGCUGGGAAAGGUAGAGACGCGGUUUCACCGUGGUCUUGAUCUCCUGAUCUUGUGAUCCACCCGCCUCGGCCUCCCAAAGUGCUGGGAUUACAAGUGUGAGCCACCGCGCCUGGCUGCAACUAUAAUGUUUUGCUAAGUUCUGUCUUGCCAUCUCUAAGCUGGACCUGGUGACCUUUUUGGAGGGAAAGAAAGAGCCCUGGACUGUGAAGAGUGAGGAGACCAUAGCUGCACAGCCAGUCCAGAUGUAUAAUCUCAUCCCUGAACAUUUCUGAUGGUGUGAUUAUGACAUGUGACUUUAUCUGGCAACAGAGUGAGUUGUUGCUCCCGCCUGAGCCCAGCCCCCAGAAAGGAUUGUGACAUAUCGUUGGACCCAGAAUUGAGGUAAUGUAACUAUUCCACUGCCUUGGCACUGCCCACAGAAGACAUUGUGACAUAUUGCUGGGUCUUGUACCCAGGUGGUGUGAAUCUUCUCUCCUGCCUUGGCUCUUCCACAGGGGGCAUUGUGUCAUAUCGCUGGGCCCCACACAUAGGUUAUGUGACUCUUCUGCCUGUGCCCUGCCCAUGUGGCCCAUUGUGACAUACUGUUGGGUCCCAAACCUAGGUGAUGUAACUCUACUGCUUAGGCCCUGCCUACAGAGGACAUUGUGACAUAUCCCUGCAUCCAUCACACAGGUAAUGCAGCUCUCUUCUGCUUGGCCCCUACUCACAGAAAGGAUUGUGAUGUAUCACAGGGCUCAGCACCUAGCUAACAUGACUUUUCUCCUCUUCUAGGUUUUUGCCCACAGGGGAUAUUGUGACAUGUCACUGGGCCUAAUACUAGGGUGACAGUACUCUUGUGUCAUGGCACUGCCCUCAGCAGGUGUGGUGAUAUAUUACUGGGCCCAGAACAAAUGUGAUAUGAGUCUCCUGCCUGGACCCUGCCUACAAGGUGCAUUGUAACAUAUCUGGGGCCCUUUGACUAUUUUAUUUUAUUUAUUGUAUUAUAUUUUAUUUAUUUUAAUUUUAUUUUUGAGACAGAAUCUCACUCUGUCACCUAGGAUGGAGUGCAGUGGCGUGAUCUCUGCUCACUUCAACCUUUGCCUCCUGGGUUCAAGUGAUUCUCCUGCCUCAGCCUCCUGAGUAGCUGAGACUACAGGUGUGUGCCGCCACGUCUGGCUGAUUUUUGUGUUUUCAGUAGAGACAAGAUAUCACCCUGUUGGCCAGGCCGAUAUCAAACUCCUGACCUCAGCCAGUCCACCCGCCUUGACCUCCCAAUGUGCUGAGAUUACAGGUGUGAACCAUUGCUCUUGGCACCCUUUGACUAUUUUAUGUGACUCUUCUCUCUUACCUGGACAUUGACCAAAUGGGCCCAGCACCAAGGUGAUAUGACUCUCCUCUCCUGCCUGGGCCUUGCCCUUAGAAGAGAGAGUGACUUACUGCUGAAUUUAGCAUACAGGUGAUAUGAUUCUUCUGCUGACUCGCAGAAGUCACUGUAACAUAUAUGUGGGCCCAUUGCUGAGGUUGUGUGACUCUCUUCUCCCUGGGACCUGUCCACAGUAGGGAUUGUGACAUAUUGCUUGGCCAAGCACCUACAUUGUGUGACUUUUUAUUUAUUUAUUUUUUUAAGACAGAGUUUUGCUCUUGUUGCCCAGGCUGGAGUGCAAUACCAUGAUCUUGGCUCAGCUGGGAUUACAGGCAUGCGCCACCACACCUGGCAAAUUUUUUUUAUGUUUUCAGUAGAGAUGGGGUUUCUCCAUGUUAGUCAGGCUGGUCUCAAACUCCCAACCUCAGGUGAGCCGCCUGCCUUGGCCUCCCAAAGUACUGGGAUUCCAGGCAUGAGCCACUGCACCUAGCUUCGAUAUGACUGUCUUCUUAUGCCAGGGCCCUGCCGACUGGAGUGAUUUUGACACAUAGCUGGGGCCAGCUCAAAUGUUAUGUGACUCCACACUUCUUCCUGAGCCCUAUCUGUGAGGGGCACUGUGUCUUAUCUCUGAGACCGUUAAUUAGGUAAUAUAACUUUUAUUUUUUUGAGACAGAGUCUGGCUUUGUUGCCCCGGCUGGAGUGCAGUGGUGUGAUCUUGGUUCACUGCAACUUCCGCCUCCUGGGUUCAAGUGAUUCACCUGCCUCAGCCUCCUGAGUAGCUGGGAUUACAGGUACACAUGCCACCACGCCCAGCUAAUUUUUGUAUUUUUAGUAGAGAUGAAGUUUCACCAUGUUGGCCAGGCUGGUCUCGAAUUCCUGACCUCAAGUGAGCCACCUGCCUUGGCCUCCCAAAGUGCUGGGAUUACAGGCAUGGGCCACCACACCUGGCCAAUGUAACUCUUUUGUUUGGACUGUCUUCUUGGGGUAUUGUGAUAUAUUGCUGGGCCCAGAAUCCGGGUGAUGUGACUCUGCUGUUUCAUCUCUGCACAAAAAGGGAUUGUGACAUACCACUGGGUCAAGAACCUAGAUGAGGUGACUCUCCUCUCCAGCCUGGGACCUGCACACAUUGUGUACUAAGACAUAUCACUGAGUCUAACACCUAGGUAAUGCAACUCUCCUGCAUGGGCCCUGCCCAUAGGGGUAUUAUGAAAUAUCUUUCUGUUAAUCACCUAGGUGAUGCGACACUCCUCUUCUACCUGGGAACUGCCAAAACAAGUAUUGGUACAUAUCACUGGGCCCAGCACAUAGGUGAUGUGACUCUUUUCUCAUGCAUGGGCUCUGCGAACUGGGGUGUUUUUUACAUAUAGUUGGGCCUAAACCCUAGGUCGUGUGAUUCUUUUAUUUUCCUGAGCUGUACUCACAGAGAGCAUUUUGACAUGUUUUUGGGCCCGUAAUUUAGAUGAUGUGACUCUCUUGGAUGGGCCUUCCCCGGAAUGGGUAUUGUGACAUAUUGCUGAGCCCAUUAUAUAGGUGAUGUGACUCUUCUCUAUGGUUUGGGCUUUGCCCAAGCAGGGAUUGUGAUGUGUUGCUGGACUCACCACCUAUGUGUUGUGACUCUCCUCUUCUGCCUAAGCCCUGCAUGCAUUGUGUGUUGUGACAUGCCUGGAUUCAACACCUAGGUGAUACAACUUUAUGGCAGGGGAACCACCCACAGAAGUAUUGUAUCAUCUUUCCAUCACUUAGGUGAUGUGAUUCUUUUAUUUUUCCUGUUUCUGGCAUAUUUUGGGUAUAGUGACAUACCAUUGAGUUCAACACCCAUGAAAUCGGAGGCUUCUGCCUGAGCCCAGCACAUAAGUGACCUUGUGACAUAUCUUUGCAUUCAUUAUCUAGGAGAUUUAACUCCCCUUUUUGCCUGCACCCUGACCACUGGGAAGAUUGUGGCAAAUCACCGGUCUCAGCAAUCAAGUGAUGUGUUUUUCCUGCCUGGUCCUUGCCCACAGAUCAUUGUAACAUGUCACUGGGCCUAGCAUCCAGGUGAUGUGACUCUGCUGACUAUAUUCUGCUUUCAAGAGGAGAUUGUAACGUAUCCCUAAUCGAGCACCCAGGUGGUGUGACACUUCUGCCCUAUCCCUGCCCUUAGAGAUGAUUGUGACAUAUUGCCCCAAAAGGCAGGUGAUGUGAGUCUUCUGGUCAAUCCCUAUUCACUGGUGGGAUUGUGAUACAUAUCUUAUCCAAACUUAUAGGGGCAAUAUGACUCUCAUACCUCUAAACAACCAAUAGCAGAUACACUAGUUCUCAUAGCCAGGGUCAGGAAAAUGAGUAAUGUCUUGGGUUUCUUCUUUGUAUGAAGGUCAUAAAGAAUUAACACUCUGUCACAUACUGUGUAAAGUCGUCAAGAGGUACAGGGAAUGUCCUAACAGAACUCAGCACACAGGGGAGGUUGCGACACUCAUAUGCAUAGCCUGCCAACAGUAAAGACUGUCAUCCUUCCACAUAAACACAGCUCACUGUUGAGGUUCUGAAUCUCAUACCCAGAUGAAGUUGAAAGUUAGAAAAUUAAAUCUCAUGUUAAUUCGAUCCAUAGAGAGGUUAGUGUCUCUGAGACCAAGAUUCAGCACACCUGUGAGUCAGUGACUUCAUUAAAAUGACAGAAUUUGCAGGAAGGAUUGAAGUUCUCAUGCACAAAUCCAGACCAUCAUUGAGACUGUCACUCAGGUACUUACACCCAACAUACAGAGGGUAUUUUGUCUCAUACCUAGAACUAAGAAAUGUGUGAAAUUGUUAAUCUCAUACCUCGACCUUAAUUCAGGUGUGUUUGUGACAUACACCUUUUUUAAGCACCUAAGUAAUUUGACUCUCCUGCCUGGGCCCAACGUACAGAUGGGAUUGUGCCAUAUUUCUGGACCCAGCAUUUAGGUGAUGUGAGUCUAUUCUCUUGUCUUAGUGCUUUCCACAGAGAACACUGGACAUAUCACAGGGCCUAGUGCCCAGGUGAUAUGACUUUCCUCUACUUCCUAGGCUUUUCCUAAGAAGGGAUUGUAAUAUAUUGCUGGGUCAGAACCUAGGUCGUGUGACUCUCCUGUGCUGCCUGGUUCCUCUUGUACAUUGUGUAUUGUGACAUGUGGCUUGUUCUAACACCUCGAUGAUGUGAAUCUCCUGCAUGGGCCCUGUCCACAGAGGUAUUAUAACAUAUCUUUUUAUUCAUCACCUAGAUGAUGUAACUCUUUUCUAUCUGGGCCCUGCCAAAAGGGAGGAUUGCGGCAUAUCACUGGACCCAGCAUCUAGGUGAUGUGAUUCUCCUGUUUUCCCUGGGCCUCAAAUAUUUUGGAUAUUGUAAAAUAUUGCUAGGCCCACUACCUAUGGGAUUGCAUGCUCCUGCCUGGGCUCUGCCCACAGGGACCUUGUGACAUAUAUCUGCGUCCAUGACCUAAAAGGUGACACUUCUUGCCUGCACUGUGCCCUGAACAGGAAAUAUUGUGACAUAUCCCUGGAACCAGACACCAGGAGAGAAUUGUAACAUAUCCCUGGCUGAGCACCCAGGUGAUAUGACACUCCUGCUUGUUUCCUUCCCUCGGGGAAGAUUGUGAGAUACCUUGGCUGAAAUCCCAGGUGAUGUAACUCUCUUGCUAACUCCCUACCUACAGGUUAAAUGGUGACAUAUACUAUAGUCAGCUUAUAAGUGGAAUGAUGACUCUCAUACCUCUAGUCAGCUAUUGGAAGAAAUACUGUCUCUCAUAGCUCGACUUAGAUAAAUGAGUCACUUCCUUGGUCUUCUCUUUUUAUGAAGGUCAUAAAGAAUUGCCACACUCUAACAUAUUGUAUAAUGCCCUCGAGUGUUACAAACGUGUUAUCCCAGGGCACACAGCACAAAGGUGAGAUUGUUUCUUAUAUGCACACCUCACCAAUUAUUAGGAUUAUCACCCUCACACAGGGAAAGAGCCUAUGGCUGAAGUCUUGAAUCUCAAAUGCAAACAGAAUCUCAAAUGCAAACACUGUCCACAGUUGGAAUUGUGACUCAUGUAUGAGCCUCCAACCACAGUUGAGAUGGUGACACAUUUCUAAACUCAGAACAUAGCAGAUGAGGACUCUACUCUCUUAAACCCAACAAAUUAAGAGAGAUGUUGACUAAUACCUGGGCUUAGGGCCACAAGUAUGGUCAUGGGUGCUUACAAACAUGAUUUUAGAGUAAAUUGUGCCUCUCAUUUAUACUGGAUAAAGCCUUUGAGUAGUAUAGUGUACUAACCAGGCGCAGUGGCUCACGCCUGUAAUCCCAGCACUUUGGGAGGCCGAGGUGGGUGAAACGAGGUCAGGAGUUCAAGACCAGCCUGACCAACAUGUUGAAACCCCAUCUCUACUAAAAAAUACAAAAAAUUAGCUGGGCAUGGUGGUGGGCACCUGUAAUCCCAGCUACUUGGGAGCCUGAGGCAGGAGAAUUGCUUCAACCCGGGAGGUGGAGGUUGCAUUGAAUUGAGAUCAUGCCACUGUACUCCAGCCUGGGUGAUAGUGCGAGACUCUGUCUCACCAAAAAAAAAAAAAAAAAAAAAAAAAAAGAGUGUACUAACAAGACCCAGCACACAGAGGAGAUUUUCUCUUUUUCUUUUUCUUUUUUUCUUUUGAGAUGAAGUCUUGCUCUGUCACCCCAGCUGGAGUGCAGUGGCGCGAUCUCAGCUUACUGCAAUCUCCACCUCCGGGUUCAAGUGAUUCUCCUGCCUCAGCCUCCUGAGUAUCUGGGAUUACAGGCACAUACCACCAUGCCCGGCUAAUUUUUGUACUUUUAGUAGAAACAGGGUUUCACCAUGCUGGCCAGGAUGGUCUCAAUCUCCUGACCUCGUGAUCCACCUGCAUCAGCCUCCCAAAGUGCUGGGAUUACAGGUGUGAGCCACUGCAGCCGGCCUGGAGAUUUUCACUGUUAUAUGAACACCCAUCAAAAAGUAUACAUCAUCAUAUUCUCACAUAAACACAGCCCACUUUUGAAGUUCUGGAUCACACCUAGAGGAAGUCAAAGGUGGAAAAAUUGACUCUUAUAUAUGGAUCCAGUCCAUAGGUGAGUUGGUGACACUCAGAGCAAGAUUCAGCAUGCGUAUGAGGCUGUGACUUCACUAAUUAGACAAAGUCCACAGGAGGAGUAUAGGCUGUCAGGUACAAAUUUAGUUCACUGUUGACAUUGUAACUCCUGUUCUUAGACACAACAUAUAGGAAGGGUUAACCUCCUUUACCUAAAACCGGAACAUGUGUGGGAUUGUUAAUUUCAUCUCUGCACCUUCCCACAGGUUUAAUUGUAACAUUUUUCUCUGCCCAGCACCUGAGUGAUCUGACUCUCUUGCCUAAGACCAGCCCACAGAUGGAAUAGUGACACAUAGCUGAACCCAGAACUGAGGGGAUGUGAUUCUAUUUUUCUGCAUUGGUGCUGCUCACAGGGGACAUUGUGACAUAUCGCUGGACCUUACACUUAAAUGAUUUGAGUCUCCUCCCCUGCCUUGGCACUGCCUACGGAAGGCGUUGGGACAUGUCUCUGAGCCCUAUGCCCAGGUUAUGUGACUCUCCUGCCUGUUCCCCGACCACAUAAGCAAUUGUGACAUAUUGCUGGGUUUGACACCCUGGUAAUGUAACUCUACUGCCAAAAAGGAGCAUUAUGACAUAUAUUUCCAUUCAUUACCCAGGUGUUAUGACUCUCUUCUCCUGCCUGGUCCCUGCUCACAGAGGGAAUUUUGACAUAUCCCUUGGCUCAGUACCAACAAGUGUGGUUCUUCUUCCAUCAUAAGUUCUGCUGGCAAGGGAGAUGGAGACAUAUUGUGGAGCUCUAUGCCAAUGUGACAUUACUGUUUGCUUUGGCCUGGACCUCAAAAGGCAUUGUGACAUAUUGCUGGGCCCAGCAACAUGGUGACAUGAGUCUCCUGUAUGGACCAUGACAACAGAGCAUUGUGACAUAUCUUUAAGAGCAUCAACUAUUUGAUGUGACUCUCCUUUUCUACCAAGGUUUCCCCACAAUGAGAGAUUGUGACGUAUCUUCUGACCCAGAAAUCAGGUGAUGUGUUUCUCCUGCCUGAGCUUUGCUCAUAGGGAGCAUUGUGACAUAUCACUCGUCUCAGCUCCCAGGUGAUGUGACUGUACUGUCUGUGCCCUGGUUUCAGGAGGAAAUUUAACAUAUCCCUGACUGAGCACCCAGGUUUUAAUUCUUCUGCCUGGUGCCUUCUCUCAGAGAAGUUUGUGACAUAUCCCUGGCCUAUUACCCAGAUGAUAUAAGUCUCCUGCUCACUCCCUAUCCACAGUGGAGAUUGUGACAUCUUUUUUCAGAUCAUAGGCACAAUGUUGGCUGUCAUAUCUGAAACCAGUCAAUAGGAGACAUACUAUCUCUCAUAUGUGGGCUUAGGUACAUGGGUAAGAUUGUCACUCUUCUCUUUUUAGGAAGGUCAGAGAAAAUUACACUCUCUCACAUAUUGUAUAAAGUCCUCAAGUGGUAUACAGAGUGUCAUAACGGCUCUAGAAAACAGAUGGGAUUGUGAUUUAUGUAUGCACACUUUGCCAAUUGUUAAGAUUGUCACCCUCAUCCAUGGACAAAGCCUACUGGAGAGGUCUUAAAUCUUACAUGUGGAUGCAGUGCAGAGUUGAAAUUGUGACUGUCAUAUGUGAACAUCAGGCAACAGCUGAGGUGGUGACUCAUUAGUAAGCCUAGCUUAUAGGGAGGUAACAACUCUCAUAUCUGGACCCAGUCAUUAUAGAGGUGUUAACUCUCAUAUCUGGGCAUAGAGCCACAGGUACGAUUAUGGGUCGAUACCAUUACAAUUGUCUCCCAGUCACAAAAGAUUGCGACUCUCAUGGGAACCUUAUAAAUUCCUCGGUUGGUACAGGGAAUGUUCUAACUAGGCUCAUUGUACAGUUGAGGUUUUGACACUCAGGCACACCCAGCCGACAGUAAAGAUUGUCCUCUUUUCACAUGAAUACAAUCCACUGGAUGUUCUGAAUCUCAUAUCCAGAGACAGUUGCAAGUUGGAAAAUUUACUCUUAUAAGUGAAUCCAGUCCAAAGUUAAGUUGGUGACUUUCAGACCAAGAUUGAACACACUGUUAGUCUGUGAUUCCACUAAGGUGAAACAGCCAGUAAGAGGGAUUGUGUCUCUCAUUCAAUGAUUCAAUUCAUUCUAAAAAUGUGACUUGUGUACUUGGAUUUAACAUACAGGAGGUGUUGACUCUCAUACCAAGAAUUGGGGUAUAUACAGGAUUGUUAGUCUCAUCCUUGGUCUUUCCUUCAGGUGCAGUUUUGACACACUUCUGUCUAGCAGCUGAGUAUUGUGAUCUUCAGAACUGGCCCAGCCUACAAAUAGGAUUGUGCCACACUGCUGGACCCAGCACCUAGAUGAUGUAACUAUUCUCCUGCCUUGGUGCUACUCAAAAAAGACAUUAACAUAUCUCAGAGCCUUGCACCCAGGUAAUGUGAGUCUCCUCUCCUGCCUUGCUGCUGCACACAGAAGCGGGUUAUGUACAGGAUUGUUAAUCUCAUUUGGACCUUCCUGCACCUAUGAUUGUGACACAUGCCUCUGUGUAGAACCCAAGUGAGUUUUCUCUCCUGUUUGGAUUUAACCCACAGAUGGAAUCGUGACAUAUCGCUGCACCAGAAACUAGGUGAUGUGACUCCAUUUCCUUGCCUCUGUGCUUUCCACAUUAGGCAUUGGGACAUAUCACUGGGCCUUGCAUCCAGGUGAUGGGAGUUUUCUUUUUCUUUCUUUCUUUCUUUCUUUUUUUUUUUUUUGAGACAGAAUUUCGCUCUUGUUACCCAGGCUGGAGUGUAAUGGUGCAAUCUUGGCUCAAGGCAACCUCCGCCUCCUGGGUUUAAACAAUUCUGUCUCAGCCUCCCAAGUAGCUUAGAUUACAGGCAUGCGCCACCACGCCUGGCUAAUUUUUGUAUUUUUAGUAGAGACAGGGUUUCUCCAUGUUGGUCAGGCUGGUCUCGAACUCCUGACCUCAGGUGAUCCACCUGCCUUGGCCUCCCAAAGUGCUGGGAUUACAGUUGUGAGCCACCGUGCCCGGCCAGUGAUGGGAGUUUUCUCUCCUGCUUUGGUGCUGACCACAGUGAGCAUUGUAAAAUAUUGCUGCCAUCACCCCUAGAUUAUGUUAACUCUCCUCUGCUUUGCCCACGUGGUUCACUGUGACAUAUUACUGGGUCUAAAACCCAGAAAAUGUAACUCCCUUAUUUAGGUUCUGCCUGCAGGAGCCAUUGUCACACAUCUCUGUGCUCACCACCCAGGUGAUGUGACUGCCUUUUACUGCCUAGUUCCUUCUCACAAAACAUCUUGUGGCAUACUGCUAGGCCCAGUACCUGGCUGGUGUGACUCCUCUCUUCUUUCUAGGUUCCACCUGCAGCAAAGAUUGUAACAUACCGCUGGGCCCAACAGCAUAAUGACGUUAUUCUUUUGCCUUGGGCCUGCCCUCAGAAGGCACUAUAAAAUAUUCAUGGCCCCAGCGCCAAGGUGAUGUGUGUCUCCAGCCUGGAUCCUGCCCACAGAGGGCAUUAUGACAUAUCUCUUGGCCCAUCAGAUGUUUAAUAUUAUCUCCUCCCAUUUCCUACCCUGUGUUUGCCUGUAAGAGACAUUGUCACAUGUUCCUGGGCCCAGCACCUAGGUGAUGUCUUCCUGAGACCUGUCCAUAUGGGGAUUGUGAUAUAUUGUGUGGCCCAGAACUUACUUGAUGCGACUCUCCUCUCAUGACUAGGCCCUGCUUACAGGUGUGAUUGUGACACACAGCUUGGCCUAGCCCCUAAGUUAUGUUACUCUGCUCUUAUUCUUCAGUCAUUUUCACAGGGGGCAUUGUGACAUAUUGCUAGACUGAGAACUUAGGUGAUGUGACUCUCCUCUACUGCUUGGAAUAUUCCCAAAAAGAGAGUUUGAUAUAUUGCUUAGCCAGGAUCCUAGGUGAUGUUACUCUUUUCUCCUGCCUAAACCCUGCAUACAUUAUGUAUUUUGGCACUGGGGCCACAACCUAGGUGAUGUAACUCUCCUGCAUGGGCUUUGCCUACAGGGGUAUGAUGAUGUUUCUUUUCUUUCAUCACCCAAGUGGUGUGACUCUCCACUUAUGCCUGGGUCUUGAUGAAAGAGGAAUUGUGACAUAUCCCUGGCCCUAGCACUUAGGUGAUGUAACUUGCCUUUAUUGCCAGGGCAUGGCAUAUUAUGAAUAUUGGACGUAUCUCUGGGACUGACACCUAGGGGAUGAGAGGUUCCUGCCUUGGCCCUGCCCACAGGAGGCUUUGUGGCAUGUCUCUGGCCUCAUUACCUAGAAAGAUGUGACUCUUCUCUUCUACCUGCAUUCUUCCCACAGAGAAGAUUGUGACAUCACUGGAUCCAGCAAUUAGAAAAUGUUUCUCUCCUGCCUGAGCCUUGCCCACAGGAAUAUUGUGACAUAUCCUUGGGCUCAGCACCCAGGUGAUGGAACUCUGCCACCUGUGCCCUGUCUACUUAGGCUAUUGUGAAGCUGGUUUCAAUACCCAGGUGAUGUAACAUUCCUGCCAGGCCACUGCCUUCCAGGGAUAUUGUUACGUACCUUUGUGCCAAUCACCAAGGUGAUGUGAAUCUUUUCACCUGCCUAGUCCUUGUUCACUAGGGGAUAAUGAUAUCUAUUGCUGGUUUCAGCACCAAGCUGAUGUUACUUGCCUCUUCUUCACAGAUUCUGCUCACAGAAAAACUAACACAUCACUAGGCCCAUCAGCGAAAUUAUUUUGCCUGGCCCUGCCCUUAAAAGACAUUGUGACAUACUACAGUGCCCAGCAUCAAUGUAAUUUGUCUCCUGCCUAAACCCUGCCUACUGGGGGCAUUGUGACAUAUCUCUUGGCCCAUCAACUAUUUGAUGUGACUCUACUUUCUUACCUGGGCUUUGCCAAUAGUAGAGCUUGUGACCUAUCUCUGGGCCCAGCACCUAGAUGUUAUGACUCUCCCGCCUGGUCCAUGCACACAAAAAAGAGAGUGACUUAUACUAGGAUCAACACACAAAUGAUUCUAUUCUUCUGCAUUAUCCCAGCCCACAUGGCUUAUUGUGACAUCUCUAGGUUCAUCAUCUAGAUGAUAUGACUCUCCUUCCUGGGAACUGUCCAUAAUGAAGAUUGUGACACAUCACUUGGCCCAGCACCUAUGUGAUAUGACUCCUUUCUUUUGCCUGGGCCUAUCAGUUUGGGUGAUUGUGUCAUAUAGCUUUACUCAGCACCUUGAUUAUGUGACUCUCCUGUUUCUCCUGAGUCCUACCCACAGAGGUCAUUGCAACAUAUCCCUGAGCCCCUAAUUUAGGUAAUUUGACUCCUGCCUGGGCCCUACCCUCAUUGAUUUUUGUGACAUAGUUUUUGACUCAGCACCUAGGUAAUGUGAUUCUUCUCCACUGCUUGGACUCUGUCACAGAAGGUAUUGUGAUGUAUCACUGGGGCUGACACCUAGGUGAAGGUACUGUCUUCUCCUGCCUGGGCCCUGCAUAAAUUGUAUAUUUUGACAUUUCACUAGGUUCAACACAUGGGUGAUUCAACUCUCUCACAUGGACCGUGAGCAUGGGGUUAUUGAGACAUUUAUUUUUGUUCAUCACCUAACCGAUGUGACUCCUCUCUGAUCCCUGUCAAAAGGAAAGAUUGUGACAUAUCACUGGAACCAGAACUUAGGUGAUGUGACUCUUCUGUCUAACAACCACAUAUUUUGGUUAUUGUGACAUUUCACUGGGCCAAACACCUCAGCCCUGUCCACAGGGGUUCUUGUGACAUAUAUCUGCAUCCAUUACAUAAAAGAUGUGAUGCCUUUUCUACCUGCACCCUCCCCACAGGAAAGGUUGUAACACACUGCAGGGCCCAGCCACCAGGUGAUAUGUCUCUCCUGCAUGUGCAUAACUUUCAGGAGAAAAUUGUAACAUGCCACUGGUUGAAAACCCAGAUGAUGUGACUCUCCUGCCUUUUCACAGCCCUCAGGGAAAAAAAUUACAUAUCAUUUGCCCAGCAUCCAGGUAAUGUCACUCUCCUGGGUGGUUUGUGCCAACAAGUUGGUUGGUAACAUAUAUCUCGGCCCAGCUCACAGGUUUGAUGGUGACUCUAAUACCUCCUACCAGCCAAUAGAAGAGACACUGUCUCUCACAGGUAGGCUUAGAAAGAGGAGUAAAAUUCCUGGCUGGGUGUGGCGGCUCACGCCUAUAAUCCCAGCACUUCAAGAGGUAGAGGUGGACGGAUCACCUGAUGUCGGGAGUUCAAGACCAGCCUGACCAACAUGGAAAAACCCUGUCUCUACUAAAAAUACAAAAAAUUAGCCAGGUAUAGUGGCACGUGCCUGUAAUCCCAGCUACUCGGGAGGCUGAGGCAGGAGAAUCGCUUGAACCCAGGAGGUGGAGGUUGUGGUGAGCUGAGAUCACACCGUUGCACUCCAGUCUGGGCAACAAGAGUGAAACUCUGUCUCACAAAAAAAAAAAAAAAGAAAAAGAAAAAGGAGUAAAAUCCUGGUGGUCUCUCUGUAUGAAGGUUAUAGAGAAUUACCACUCUCUUGUAUAUUGUGUAAAGCACUUGGAUGGUACAGAGCAUGUCUUCUGUACCAUAGGACCCAGCAAACAGGUUAGAUCAUGUUUCAUGUAAGCACAUCCUGCCAGUUUUUAGGAUUGUCAUCCUCACACAUGAAAGAGCCCACUGACUGAUGAGGUCAUAAUUCUCAUGGAUGGAUGCAGUCCAUACUUAAAAUUGUGACUAUCUUAUGUGAACAUGUGGCCACACUUGAGAUGGUGAAUCAUUUCUAAACCCAGCUCAUAGUGGUGAGGACUCUCCUCUCUGGACCCAGCUAAUUGGAGAGAUGUUAAAUGUCAUACCUAGACUUGGGACCACAUUAGAUCAUGUGUUCAGAGCAGGUUGCAACUCUCAGGCACACCAUAUACAGUCCACAAGAGAGUGUCCUGACAGAGAGAAGCACACAGGUGAGACUGAAAUUUAUAUUCACACCCAGUCAAUACCAAAGAUUGUCAUCCACUUAAACACACUCUUCUUUUGAGGUUCUGAAUCUCACUUUUGGAGGCAGCUGAGUGUUGGAAAAUUGACUCUCAUUUGUGGAUUUUUGUCCACAGUUGGGUUAGUGACUCGUUAACCAAAAUUCAGCACACCUUUGUGACUGCAACUUCACUAAGGAGCAUAAUUUAUUUAUUUUGAGAUGGAGUUUUGCUCUUGUUACCGAGGCUGGAGAGCAGUGGCACGAUCUUGGCUCACUGCAAACUCUGCUUCCUGGGUUCAAGUGAUUCUCCUGCCUCAGCCUCCUGAGUAGCUGGGAUUACAGGUGCCCACCACUAUGCCAGCUAAUUUUUUGUAUUUUUAGUAGAACUGGGGUUUCACCAUGUUGGUCAGGCUGGUCUUGAACUCCUGACCUCAAGUGAUCCACUUACCUCAGCCUCCCAAAGUGCUGGGAUUACAGGUGUGAGCCUCCUUGCCUAGACUAAGGCACAUAAUUUGCAAAAGAAAUUGAGGCUCUUAUGCACAAAUCCAGUCCACCAUUGAGACUGACCCCUGUACUUAGACCCAACAUGCAGGAAGUGUUGACUGUCAUUCCUUGACUCAGGACAUGAGUGUAAUUGUUAAUGUCAUCACAAGACCUUUCUACAAGUGUCAUGUGACAUACAUCUUAGCCCAGCAUCUGAGUUAUUUGUCUUUUCCUGGGACCAGUCCACAGUGCCAUAUCACCGGGCCCAUACCCUUGGUAAUGUGAUUCUAUUCUGCUUUGAUAAAGCGCACAGUGGUCAUUGUGACAUUGCUUGGUGUUGCACCCAGGUGGUGUGAGUCGGCUCUUCUGCCUUGGUGCUGCCCACAGAUGUAUUGUGACAUAUUGCUGGGCCUAUGUUAUGUUUAUCUUUUGCUUGUGCCCUAAACACAUAGCCUGAGUCCAACGACCAGGUGAUGUAACACUUCAUCCUGGACCGGUCUACAGAGGGGAUUGUAAUAUAUGUCUUCACCAAUCACCCUGGAAAUGUGACUUACUUUUCCUGCCUGUCCCUAAUCACAGGGGGUACUGGAACAUAUUGUUGGGCCCAGCACGUAGCUGAUGUGACAAUUUUUUUUUGGGUUCUGCUCACAAAAGAGAUUAUGACAUGUGAUUGUGCCUAACACUAAGGUGAUGUUACUUUUUUUUUUUUUUUGCUUUGGCUCUGCCCUUAGAAGGCAUUGAGACAUGGCUGGGCUCAGCACUAAGAAGAUGUGAGUCCUCUGCCUGAAGCCUGACCACAGGGAGCAUUGUGACACAUUUCUUGACCCAUUACAAUCUCUUCUACGGGCAAAGCUGAGGUAAAUGCCCGUUUUACCUAUGUGAUGUGACAUUCCUCUUCUGCCUGGGCCAUGCCCACAGAAUAGAGUGACGUAUUGGUGGGGCAAGCAAAACAGUGGUGUAAUUAUUCUGCCUGGUCCCUGUACACAGGAGUCACUGUGAUACAUGUUUGGGCCUCCCACCUAGAUGAUGUGACUUUUUUCUUCUGGAGUUUGUCCACAGUGGGAAUUGUGAUAUGCCACGUGACAUAGCUCCUAUGUGAUGUGACUCUUUCUCAUUCUUGGCCUCUUUCCACUGGGGUUACUGGAACAUAAAGCUGAGCCCAGCUCCUAGGCUGUGUCUCUCCUUUCUAAGCCCUACCCACAAAGGACAUUGUGACGUAUCUCUAGGCUUCUCACCUAGGUAAUAUUACUUUUUUACCUAGGCCCACCCCUCAGGGGUAUUGUGAAAUACUGCUGGACCAACAUGCUAGAUGAUAGGAGUCUCUGCUACUGCUUGGGGUGUGAUUAAGAGGAAAUUGUGAUGUGCAUUUGGGUGCAUCCAGCACCUAAGUGAUGUUAACUCUCCUCUUGUGCCUGAGACCUGCAUGCAAUAUGUGUUUUUGUGUUUUUUGUUUGUUUUUGAGAUGGAGUUUUGCUCCUUUUGCCCAGGCUGGAUUGCAAUGGUGCAAUCUCAGCUCACCACAACCUUCAUCUCCCAGGUUCAAGCAAUUCUUCAGCCUCAGCCCCCUGAGUAUCUGGGAUUACAGGCAUGUGCCACCAAGCCCGGUUAAUUUUUCUAAUUGUAGUAGAGAUGGGGUUUCUUCAUGUUGGUCAGGCUGGUCUCGAACUCCCAACCUCAGGUGAUCCACCGACCUCAGCCUCCUAAAGUGCUGGGAUUACCGGUGUGAGCCACCGCACCUGGCUGGCAUCAUGUAUUUCAACAUGUCUCUGGGUCCAACAACAUUAUGAUGAGACUUUCCUGUGUGGGCUCUCACACAGAACUAUUCUAACACAUCUUUUCAUUCAUUAUCUUGGCGAUUUGACUUUUCUGUUCCGCUUGAGCACUGCCAAAAGAAAAAUUUGUGGCAGAUCACUGGACCUAGCACCUAGGUGAUGUGGCUCUUCUCACUUGCCUGAGACCUGCAUAUUUUGGUUAUUGUGACAUAUCACUGAAACAAACACCUAGGGGUUGGAAGGCUUCUGCCUGAGCCCCUCCCACAGAGGGCCUUGGAAUAUAUUUUUUUAUCCAUCACCUGGGAGAUGAAACCCUCUACUUCUACCUGCCUUCUUCCCAUAGAGAAGAUUGUGAUAUAUUGCUGGGCCCAGGAACCAGGUGUUUUGUCUAUCUUUUCUGGGCUUUGCCUACAGUGAGCCUUGUGACACCCAGGUGAUCAUACUCUUCUUCCUAUGCCCUGCUUUCAGGAGAGGAUUAUAACAUCUCUGGUUGAGAACUCUGUGAUGUGACUCUCCUUGCUGGUGCAUGCUGUCAGGGAAGAUUGUGACAUAACCCUGGCUCAGCACACAGUUGAUGUGACUCUUGUGCUUGUUCUCUACCCACAGGUGGAAUUGUGACAUAUAACUUGGCCAAGCACACAGAUGUAAUGGUGUGGUGACUCUCAUACCUAGAACUGGGACCUGUGCAGGAUUGUUAAUUCAUUACUGGACAUUCCUGUGGGUGUGAUUGUUACAUAUGCCUAUGUUCAGCACCCGAGUGAUUUGAUUUUGCUGCCUGGUCUCAGUCCAAAUGUAAGAUUGUGAUUUAUCGCUGAAUCCAGCACCUCGGUGAUUUGACUCUCCCUUUUUUUGUGGGAGGGAUCCUGCAAAUUUUGGGUAUUGUCAAUUAUUGCUGAAUCCUGUACCCAUGUUAUGACUCUCCCAAAUGUGCCUUACCUGUUGUGGCACAAUAUAUCACAUUAGACAUUGUUAAAUAUUGUUGGGUUCAACACCUGGGUGAUGGAUGUAACUUUUUUUCUGGGCCUGCCUACAGGGGACCUUGUGACAUAACUCAAUGCCCAUCAUCAUGGUAAUGUUACUCUCUUCUCCUGCCUGAUCUCUGCUCACAGAGAAAUUGUGACACAUCACUGGCCUAGCAUCUAGGUGAUGUGACUCUCCUCUUUUUUUCAGGCUCUGCAUAUUUGGGUAUUGUGACAUAUUGCUGAACUCAACACCUAAGGGAUGGGAGUCUCCUACCUAGGCCCUUCCUACAGGGGACAUUGUGACAUGUCUCUGCAUUCCUCAUCCAGGAGAUGUGACUCUCCUUUUCUGCCUACACCCUGCCUACACAGAAAGUUGUGGCAUAUUGCUGUGGUCAGCAACCAGAUGAUAUAUUUCUCCUGCCUGGGUCUUUAUUACAGGAAAGAUGAUUGACAUAUUACUGGGCCCAGCAUCCAGAUGAUGUGACUCUCUUCUUCUGUUGGUCCUUGCUUACAGGGAAACUGUAGCAUAUUGCUACACCCAACACCUAGCUUAUGUGAUUCUUCUUUUAGGUUUGCCUUCAGGGAACAUUGUGACAUAUUGCUGGGCCCUGCACUGAUAAUUUGUGACUCUUCUGCCUGUGAUUUGCCCACUUGGGGCAUUGUGACAUAUUGCUGGGUUUAACACUCAGGUGAUGUAACUUUUAUGCCUAGGCCUUGCUUACAGGAGGCAUUUUGAAAUGUCUUUGUGGCUGGGCAUGGUGGCUCAUGUCUGUAAUCCCAGCGCUUGGGGAGGCCAAGGUGGGCAGAUCACAAAGUCAGGAGUUCGAGACCAGCCUGGUCAACAUGGUGAAAACCUGUCUCUACUAAAACAAAACAAAACAAAACAAAACAAAACAAAACAAAACAAAACAAAACAAAUAAAACCACAAAAAUCAGCCAGGUGUGGUGAUUGGUGCCUGUAGUUGCAGCUACUCAGGAGGCUGAGGCAGGAUAAUCGCUUAAGUCCAGGAGGUGGAGGUUGCAGUGAGCUGAGAUUGCACCACUGCACUCCAUCCUGGGCAACAGAGUGAGACUCCAUCUCCAAAAAAAAUAAAAUAAAAUAAAAUAAAAAUACAAAUGUCUUUGCACCAAUCCUACAGGUGAUGUGACUCUCUUGUGUUACCUGGUCUCUGCCCCCAGGAAGAAUUGUGACCUUUCACAGCGUAUAGCUAAUUUUUUUCUUUUAUUUCUUAGUUUUUCUCCUGCAGGAAAGAUUGUGAAAUAUUACUGAACUAAGCACCAAAGGGAUAUAUUUUUUUUCUUGGACCUGCCCAUGUAAGACCUUGUGACAUAUUGCUGGGCCCUACACCUAGAUGAUGUGAGUUUUCUGCCCGUCAACUAUUUUAUGUGACUCUCCUCUCUUAUCUUCACUUUGUCCAUAGGUUAGCUUUUAAUAUACCUUUGGGCCUGGGUCAUGCUAAUAGAAGCAAGAGUGACUUAUUGUUGGGCCCAGCACACAGGGGAUGUGAUUCUUCUGCUUGGUUCCUGCCGAAAUGGUCAUUGUGACAUAUCUAUGGGUCAGUUGGCUAAAUGACAGGACUCUUUUUAUCUUUCUGGAGCAGUCCACAGUAGGAAAUUUGACAUAUCGCUGGGCCCAGCACAUAUCUGAUGUGACUCUCCUCUCAUGCCAAGGCCUUGCCUACUGUAGUGAUUGUGCCAUAUAGCUGGGCCCAGCUCCUACGUUAUCUGACUCCUGUUUUCUUCCUGAGCCCUAUGAAAAGAUUGCAUUAUUAAAUAUUUCUGGGUCUUUUACCUAGGUGAUGUGACUUUUCUUUCUGGCUUGUCCUCUCAGAGGGUAUUGUGACAUGUUGCUGAAUGCAGCAUUUAGGUGAUACGACCCUUCCUCUACUGCUUGGACUCUGACCAAAAAGGGAUUGUGAUGCAUCACUGGGCCCAGCACCUACGUAAUGGGACUCUUUUCUCUUGCCUGGACCCUACAAAUAUUUUGCAUUGUGACGUGUAGCUGGGUCUGCCACCCAGGUAAUGUGAGUCUUCCACAUAAGCCCUGGCCACAAGAGUAUUAUGAAAUAACUUUUUAUUCAUCACCUAGGUAGUGAUGUGACUCUUCAUCAGCCUGUACCCUGCCACAAGGGAAUUGUGUUGUGUCAGUGGGUCCAGCACCUAGAUGAUGUAACUCAUCUUUUGGCUGGACCUUUCAUAUUUUACAUGUUGUUACAUAUCACUGCAUCUGACAUUAGGGGAUGAGAGGCUUCUGCCUGGGCCCUGCCCACAGAUGGCCUCGUGACAUAUUUUGGCAUCCAUCACCUAAGAAACGUGGCUCUCCUCACCUACAUGCACCAUGCACAAAGAAAAUAUUGUGGCAUAUCACUGGGAUCAGCCACCAGGUAUGUGUCUAUCCUCUCAGGGUGUUGCUCACAGAGAGCGUUGUAACAUAUCACUGGGCCCAGCACACAGGUGAUGUGACUUGUGGCCUGUGCCUAUCUAGCCUUUUUUUUUUUUUGAGGCAGAGUCUCACUCUGUUGCCCAGGUUGGAGUGCAGCGAUGUGAUCUUGGCUCACUGCAAAAUCUGCCUCCUGGGUUCAAGCAGUUCUCCUGCCUUAGCCUCCCAAGUAGCUGGGAUUACAGGCAUGCAUUACCACACCGUUCUAAUUUUUGUAUUUUUAGUAGAGGUGGAGUUUCACCAUGUUGGCCAGGCUGGUUUCUAACUCCUGACCUCAGGUGAUCCACUUGCCUUGGCCUCCCAAAGUGCUGGGACUACCAGCAUGAGCCACUGCACCCAGUCUACCUGCAGCCAUCUUAUAGGAUUAGAUUUUAAUCCAUCCCCAGCCAAGAACCUAGAUGAUGUGAUAUGACUCUCCUGUCUGGUCCUUGCCUUCAAAAAAGAUUGUGACAUACCUUUAGAUGAGACCCAGGUGAUGUCACUCUUCUGCUCACUUCCUACCCACCAGUGUCAUUGGGACAUAUAUCUUGCUUCAGCUUGCAAUUGCUAUGAUGAUUCUUAUACCUUGAACCAGGCAAUAAAAGAGUUAUAGUCUCUCCUAGCUAGGCUUAGGAAAACAAACAUAAUCCUUAGUCUCCUCUUUUUGCCAAGGUCAUAGAGAAUUAACACUCUCUCAAAUAUUCUAUAAAGCCCUCGGGUGGCACAGAGAGUGUCAUCAAGGGACAAAAACACUGAUGAUAUUGCGUUUCUUUUCUUUUCUUUCUUGGAGAUGGAGUCUCACUUUGUCACCCAGGCUAAAGUGCAGUGGCAUGAUCUCAGCUCACUGUAACCUCUGCCUCCUGAGUUCAAGUGAUUCUCCUGCCUCAGCCUCCCGAGUAGCUGGGACUACAGAUGUGUGCCACCAAGCCCAGCUAAUUUUGUAUUUUUAUUACAGAUGAGUUUUCACCAUGUUGGCCAGGCUGGUCUUGAACUCCUGACCUCAGGUGAUCUGCCCACCUUGGCCUCCCAAAAUGCUGGGAUUAUAGGUGUGAGCCACUGCUCCCAGCCCAAGAUUGUGUUUCUUAAAAGAACAUCCUGGCCAGGCUCAAGCCUGUAAUCCCAGCACUUUGGGAGGCCGAGGCAGGUGGAUCACGAGGUCAGGAGUUCAAGACCAGCCUGGCCAACAUGGUGAAACCCCAUCUCUACUAAAAAUAUAAGAACUCUCCAGGCGUGGUGGCGGGUGUCUAAUCCCAGCUACUCAGGAGGCUGAGGCAGGAGAAUUGCUUGAACCCAGGAGGCAGAGGUUGCAGUGAGCCAAGAUCACGCCACUGCCGUUCAGCCUUGGUGACAGAGUGAGACUCCAUCUCAAAAAAAAAAAAAAAAAAAAAAAGAAUAUUCUGCCAGGUGUGGUGGCUCACACCUGUAAUCUCAGCACUUUGGGAGGCCGGCUCACGCCUGUAAUCUCAGCACUUUGGGAGGCCGAGGUGGGCGGAUCACAAGGUUAGGAGAUUGAGACCAUCCUGACUAACAUGGUAAAACCCCAUCUCUACUAAAAAUACAAAAAAUUAGCCAGAUGUGGUGGCACAUGCCUGUAGUCCCAGCUACUCAGGAGGCUGAGGCAGGAGAAUCACUUGAACCCAGGAGGCCACUACACUCCAGCCUGGGCAGCAGAGUGAGACUUUGUCUCAAAAGGAAAAAGAAAUAAAAACAUCCUGCCGCUCAUUACAAUUGUAACCUCAAAAUAGAGCCCACUGGUGAGGUCCUGAAUCUCAUAUGCAGAUGCAGUCCACAGUUGGAAUUGUGACUGUGAUAUGCAAACAUCGAGCCAGGAAUGUCUCAUUUCUAAAGCUACAAAUGAUGACUCACUUCUAAAUGUAGUUCAUAGGCAGAUGAGGACUCUCCUAUAUUGAUCAGCCAAUUGGAGAGAUGUUGACUCUCAUUUCUGGGAUUAGAGCAGCAUGUACUAUCAAGGGUCCAUACCAUCACAAAUGUCUUAGAGUGGAUUGCGACUCACAUGCAUAUUGCAUAAAGUCCUCAGGUAAUGCAUUGAAUGCCCUUACAUGGCCCAGCACACAGGUGACAUUGUGAUGCUGGUUUUCACAACCAGUCAACAGUAAAUAUGUCAUCCUUUUAGAAAAACACAACCUACUUCUGAAGUUCUGAAUCUCAACCCUGGAGGCAGUGGGAAGUUGCAAAGUUGACUCCCAUGUGUGGAUCUGCUCCACAGCUGGGCUGGUGACUCAGACCAAGAUUCAGUGCACCUGUGAGGCUAUGAUUUUACUGAGAAGACAGAGUCUAAAGGAGAGAUUGAGGCUCUUUUUCAUGAAUUCAUCCAUAUUGAGAUUGUGAUUUCUGCACUUAGACCCAACCUCCAAAUGGUCUUGCCUCUCAUACCUAGAAUGGGAAUAUGUGAGGAAUUAUUCAUGUUAUUCCUGAGCCUUUCUGCAUGUGUGAUUGUGACACACAUCUCUGCUCAAAACCUGAGGAAUUUGACUCUCCUGCCUGGGCCUGGCACACAGAUGGGAUUGGGACAUAUUGUUUGAAGCAGUAUUUAGAUGAUGUGACCCUAUACUCUUUCCUUGUUCCUGUCACAGAGUACAUUGUGACAUAUCACUGGUCCCUGCACCCAGGUAAUUUGUUUGUCUUUUUUAUGCCCUGCCCACAUGGGCUAUUGUAACAUAUUGCUGGGUCUAACACCCAGGUAAUAUGAAUCUCCUACCUAUAUCCUGACUACAGGGGCCAAUUUUGCCAUAUUUCUGAACCCGUCAUCUAUUUGAUGUUACUCUCCACUUUUUUUUUCUUGGUUUUAAGGAGUGGAGAGUUUAAUAGGCAAGAAGGAAGGGAGAAGACAGAAAGAAGAAGCUCCCCUAUGCAGAGACAGAGGGAGGGGAGCUCCAAAGCCAAAAGAGAAGGCCCCCUACUCUCGACUUUUACAUAGGCUUUUCCCUAAGAGACAUUGUAACAUAUCUGGGCCAAGCACCUACGUGAUGUUACUCUUUGCUCCUUCCUGGGCCCUGACCAAGAAGGGGGAGUGACUAAUCCCUAGGCACAGCACACAGGUGAUGUAAUAUUUCUGCCUGUUCCCUGUCCACAGGAGACAUAGUGAAUGUCCCUGGCCUACUAAACAAGAUGAUAUGACUAUUUUUUGUCUCUGAGACCUGUCAACAGUGGGGAUUGUGACAGAUCACUUGUCUCAGCACCUACAUAAUUUUUCCCCAUGCCUGGGUGCUUCCCACUGGGGUGAUUGUGGCGUAUAACUAGGUGAAGGGCCUAGGUUAUGCGACUUUUCUCUUCUACGUGAGCCUCACCCACAUAGGGCAUUUUGACAUACCUCUGAAGCUCUAAUUUAGGUAGACUGCUGCAUGGACCCUUCAUUUUUCAGGAAGUAUUGUGCCAUAUUUUUUUGACCUAGCUAUAAUGCUUCUAAUGCCACUGCACUCCAGCCUGGGUGACAGAGUGAGACUACAUCUCUUCUAAUGCUUGGGCUCUGCCCAAGGAGGGAUUGUGAUGUAUUGCUGGGCCCAGCACCUUGGUGAUGUGACUCUCCUCUGCUUCUACAGGGUUCAGGACGGAAAGGAGAGUUACAUCACUUAGGUGAUGAACAAAAUGAUAUGUCAUAAUUCCCCUAUUAGCAGGGCUCAUGCAGGAGAGUCACAUCACCUAGGUGUUGGACUCAGCCAUAUUUCAAUAUGCAAAUUGUAUAUUGUGUUUAUUAAAAAUUGUAUAUAUUGAAAUAUGGCUGGGUCCAACAGGUAGAUGGUGUGAUUCUCCUGCUUGAGCCCUUCUAAUAGGGAAAUUAUGACAUAAUCAUUUUGUUUAUAACCUAAGUGAUGUAACUGUCCUUUUCUACUUGAGCUCUGUAUAAAGGGGGGAUUGUGACAUAUCACUGGACCCAGCAUCUGGUGGUACCAGUCUCUUUCUGUUUUUCUUUUUCAUUUUUUUUUUUUCUUCUGAGAUGUAGUCUCGCUCUGUCACCCAGGCUGGAGUGCAGUGGCAUGAUCUCGGCUCACUGCAACAGCCACCUCCUGGGUUCAAGCAAUUCUCCUGCCUCAGCCUCCCGAGUAGCUGGGGUUAGAGGCAUGCACCACCACACCUGGCUAAUUUUUGUAUUUUUCGUAGAGAUGGGGUUUCGCCAUGUUGGCCAGGCUGGUCUCGAACUCCUGACCUCAAGCGAUCUACCUGCCUCCGCCUCCCAAAGUGCUGAUAUUACAGGUGUGAGCCACUGUGCCACGCCUUAUUACCCUCCUCAUCAGCCCUGUGUAUUUUGGGUAUUAAGACAUAUUUCUGGGUCAAACCAAAUGGGUGAAAGGCUCUUGCCUGGGCCCUGCCCACAAGAGGCCUUGUGACACAUCUCUGCAUCCACUGCUUUGGAGGUGUGACUCUCCUCUUCCAUCUGCACCAUGACCACACAGAAAAUUGUGACAUACCUCUGGGUUCAGCAACCAGGUGUGUACCCAGGUCUUACCUGCAGAGAAAACUGUGACAUAUAACUUGGCCCAGUAUCCAAGUAAUGUGACUUUGUUGUCUGUGCCUUGCUUUCAGGAGAGAAUUGUAACAUAACCCUGGUCAGGCAACCAGGUGAUAUGACUCUCUGUCUGAUCCCUACCCUGGAAAAAUUGUGACAUAUUUCUGACCCAGCACCCAGGUGAUGUUACUCUCCUGUUUUCUUUCUACUCACAGUUUGGGUUGUGACAUAUACCUUAGCCAAGCUCACAGUUGUGGUGAUGACACUAAUACCACAAACCAGCCAAAAGGAGAGUUACUGGCACUUGUAACUAUACUUGGAGAAAUGGGUAAAUUCCUGGGUCUUCUCUAGAUAAUGUCAUAAAGGAUUACUUUUCUUUCACAUUUUAUAUAAAGUCUUUGGAUGGUACAGAGAGUGUCAUCACAAGACCAAGCACACAGGUGAGACUGUGUUUCUCAUAUGCACAACCUACCAAAUGUUAGCAUUGUCACCCUGACCCAUGGACAGUGCCCACUGGAGAGAUCCUGAAUUUCACAGGUGCAUGCAGUCCACAGUAAAAAUUCUGUUACAUGUGAUCAUGCCACUACAGUUAACAUGGUGACUAAUUUCAAAAUCCAGCUCAUAGGCAGGUGAAGAGUCUCUUCUUGGGACCCAGCCAUUUGGAGAGAUGUUGACUCAAAUACAUGGACUUAGGUUCACAGGUAUGAUUAUGAAUCCAUACCAGGAAGAAAGUUUCAGAGAAAAUUGUGACUUUCAUGAAUACUGUAUAAAGACCUCAGAUGGUACAGAGAGUUUUAUAAUGAGGCCCAGAACACAGGUGACAUUGUGACACAUGCACACCCAGCCGACAGUAAAGAUUGUCAUCUUUCCACAUGAAUACAGCUCACUGUUGAAGUUCUGAUUCUCAUAUUUGGAGGUAGCCAAAAGCUGGAAAAUUGACUCUCAUACAUGGAUUUGGGCUAUAUGUGGGUUGAUGACUCUCAGACCAAGAUUCAACAUACCGCUGAGGCUGUGACUCCACUAAGGGGACACAGUCCACAGCAUAGAUUGAGGCUCUUAUGCAUGUAUUCAGUCCACCUUUGAGAUUGUAACUGAUGUACUCAGACUCAACAUACAAAAAGUGUUGACUCUAAUACCUAGAAAUGGGACAUGUGCAGGAUUGUUAAUUUUAUCCCUACAUUUUCCUGCAACUGUAUUGCAACAUACACCUCUGACCAGCACCUGAGUAAUUUGAUUCUCCUCCCUGGUGCCCAGCCCACAGAUUAGAUCAUGACACAUCACUAGACCCAACACCUAGGUGGUGUGACUACAUUUGCCUCAGCACUGCCCACAGGGAGGCAUUGAGACAUAUGGCUGAGCCCCACACCUUGGUUAUGUGACUCUCAUUCCUGUGCCCUGCCAUUAUGGGUCAUUGUGACAUAUUGCUAUGUGCAGCAUCCAGGUGAUGUAACUCUCUUUGCUGGGUUCUGCCUAAAGGAAGCAUUACAACCUAUCUCUGUACCAAUCACCAAGGUAAUGUGACUCUCUUAUUCUACCAGGUCCCUGCACACAUAAAUAAUUUUUUCUAUUACUGGGCCCAGCAUCGAGCUGAAGUGACUCUUCUCUUCUAAGUAGGUUCUGCUCUCAAUGUAGAUUGUGACAUACUGCUGGGCUAAACAAGGUGAUGUGAGCCUUCUGUCCAAACCCUGCCCAUAGCAAGCACAGUGACAUAUCUGUGAAUCCAUCAUCUUUGUGCUGUGACUCUUACUUGGGUUUGGCCUAUAGGAGAGAUUGUGACAUAUCUCUGGGACCAGCACUUAGAUGAUGUGACUAUUCUUUCUUCCCAUGGCCAUGCUUCCAUGAAAGAGCGUGACUUAUCCCUGGGAUAAGCACACAGGCUACGUCAUUCUUCUAUCUGGCCCCUGUCCACAGGGAUUAUUGUGGCAUAUCUCUGGGCCCAUUACCUAGAUGAUGUGACUCUACUCUUCUUUCUGGGGCCUGUCCACAGUGAGGAUUGUGAUGUAUCACUUGGCCCAGCACUUAUGUGAUGUGACUCUUCUCAUGCUUUGGCUCUGCCCACUGGAGUGAUUGUGAUAUGUAGCUGGGUCCAGCUCUUAGGUUAUGCAAUCUAUCUUUUCUCUGUGAGCCCUACCCACAGGGGGCAUUGUGACAUAUCUCUGAGCCUCUCACUUAGAUGAUGUGAAUUUUCUGCUAGGGCUGUUUUCCCAGAGGGUAUUGUGACAUUUCUGGGCCCAGAACCUAAAUGAUGUGACUCUUCUAUGGCUUGGGCUCUGCCCAAAAUAUGACUCAUUUUUGUGACUGAUCUCUGCAUACAUGUAUUGUGAUGUAUGGCUGGAACCAGCACCUGCAUAAUAUGAGUCUUCUGCAUGGACUCUUUUCAGGAGGGUAUUAUGAAAUAUCAUUUUGUUUAUCACUUAGGUGUUGUGACUCUCUUCUUAUGACUGGAACCUGCCACAAAGGGCAAUUGCAACAUAUCACUUGACCCAGCACCUAAGUGAUGUGAUUCUCUUUUUUUGGGGGAGGGGGUCUCACAUAUUUUGAGUAUUGCUGGGCCCAACACCUAGGGAACAGACUGCUCCUUUCUUGACCCUGCCCAUGGGGGCUUUGUGACAUAUCUCUAUCAGGGGAACCAGCACCCAAUAUUUCAAUGUAGGUUCUUUUCUGUUUUCCCUAAGUGUUGGCCAGUCUGAGAAAUAAAGAGAAAGAGUACAAAAGAAAUAAAUUUUACAGCUGGGUCUCCGGGGUGACAUCACAUGUCAGCAGGUUCCACGAUGCCCCCGAGCCGCAAAACCAGCAAGUUUUUAUUAGCGAUUUUCGAAGGGGAGGGAGUGUACGAAUAGGGUGUGGGUCACAGAGAUCACAUGCUUCAAAGGCGAUAAAAUAUCACAAGGCAAAUGGGGGCAGAGCAAGAUCACAAGGCCAGGGUGAAAUUAGAAUUACUAAUGAGGUUCCAUGUCCCGCUGUGCAUGCAUUGUCAUUGAUAAACAUCUUAACAGGAAACAGAGUUCAAAAGCAGAGAACUGGUCUGACUAGAAUUCACCAGGCUGUAAUUUCCUAAUCCUAGCAAGCCUGGGGGCGCUGCAGGAGACCAGGGUGUAUUUUAUCCCUUAUCUUCAACUGCAUAAGACAGACACUCCCAGAGUGGUUAUUUUAGAGGCCUCACCCUGGGAGUGCAUUAUUUUGCCAGGCCUGUUCCUUGCUGAGAAAAAGAAUUCAGUGAUAUUUCUCCUAUUCACUUUUGCAAAAAGAGAAGUAUGACUCUGUUCUGCCCAGCCCUACAGGCAGUCAGGGUUAUCUCCCUUGUUCCCUGAAAAUCACUGUUAUUGUGUUCUUUUAGGAUGCCCAGAGUUCAUAUUGUUCAAACACACAUGUUUUACAAACAAUUUGUACAGAUAAUGCAAUCAUCACAGGGUCUUGAGGUGACAUACGUCCUCAGUUUAUGAAGAUGACAGGAUUAAGAGAUUAAAGACAGGCAUAGGAAAUUAUAAGAAUAUUGAUUGGGGAAGUGAUAAGUGUCCAUGAAAUCUUCACAAUUUCUGUUCAGAGAUUGCAGUAAAGACAGGCACAAGAAAUUAUAAAAGUAUGAAUUUGGGGAACUAAUAAAUGUCCAUGAAAUCUUCACAAUUUAUAUUCUGCUGCGGCUUCAGCCAGUCCCUCCGUUUGGGGUCCCUGACUUCCUGCAACAUAUCUCUGCAUCCAUGACCUAAAUAUGUGACUCCUCUAUUCUGGCUGCACCCAGCUUACAGGAAGAUUAUGACAUUUUGCUAAGUAAAGUGUAUCUUGUGCUGAUCUCCUAUGUUAUUCUGUGACUAAGAAUGCCUAACCUGGGGUUGCAGCCCAGUAGGUCUCAGCCUCGUUUCACCUCAACACUAUUCAAGAUGGAGUCGCUCUGGUUUGAAUGCCUCUGACAUAGAGAUCCAUUGUAAAAUUAUGAAAAAAAUUUAUUUGAAUUGCAGUGAAUAAGAAAUGGAAGACCUAGGAUGGGCUAUUCUGAAAGAUUUAGCAAUAUUUGUAUUUGUCAAAAUUUAAGUUUUCCGUUAAUACUUCUGAAUAGAUACAUUGUUUUAUUCUGUCAAGUUUAAAUAGAUACGCUUGAUAAUACAAGGAGUUCCCACUGUGAAAGAAAAAUAAAUCUCCUGAUGCCAAAAUUACUAAUCCAAUAGAAAAGUCAAGCUGGAGACUACAUCAGGCAAACCUGUUUCCUAUUUUAUUCUUAAAUAAGAUAGCUACACAGAUAAAAAGCUACAUACCUACCUCACAAUUUGCUCAGAAGGAAAUUCCUAGUGAAUAGAUGACAGACAGAACUCAAAGUUAUCUCUCUGAGGCUCACCUGAGACAAAUGCAGAUCUGUUUGUUUCCUCUGCCCUAUUGUUAAUUUUAAAAUGCAGAUUCACUGAGCCAGGCUAAAUUGUGUAUUCAGUGGGAGACUUAUCAAGGACUCAAAUAAAUUUAUUAUUUUUUCUCUUAUCUACUUAUGACUUGGAAGCCCCAACCUCAAGUUUUCCUGUCUUACCUGACCACACCAAUGUACAUCUUAAACAUGUUAUUGAUGUCUCUUGACUUUCUAAAAUGUAUUAGAAGACUGUACCCCAACCACCUUGGGCACCUGUCAUCAGGACCUCCUGAGGCUGUGUCACAGGCUCCUACUUAACCUUGGCAGAAUAAACUUUCCAAAUUUAUUGACACUUGUCUCAGGUACCUUUUGUUUUACACAGCCAAGGCACUGCUAGCUGGUCACUACUGCACCCCAGACUUAUCCACCACCAUUGCAGGGACUCUGGUUUCUUGAUAGCAAUUGUUUCACUUCAAUGGAAGAUGGACAGGUGUGUACCUGAGAAUGCAGCACUGAGCUCCUGGGUGAUGUGGGAUGUUCCAAGCAUCAGCUUUCAGCCAGUCUAUCUUAUAACUGUUGAAAGUUACUUAGUGUAGUGUGAAGAUGGGAAUAAACAGCUCCUGAAUGCUAACAAUGGCUGUUCAUUAUAGGGUGACCCAAGGUGGCCAUGCCAUGGUUCUGGGUUCUUCUGUGGCUUCUCAGUGGCUGAUGGAGUGGUUUUUUUGGUCUUGUGAUACAGGGUGUGUGUGUCUAAAGGAGUGGAGGGCAGGGUGGGGAAAGGAGGUGACAGGCAGGUUCCUGGAGGUCACCUCCUGGCAUUAUUCUUGUGGAUUGCCAAGUUUCUUGUUUGAAUUUGUUUCUUGUUAAUAGUACAUGUGUCCUCAGCAAGGAGGUGAAAAUAAAAAAAAAGAGCUUGGAACAGUCUCAGCUCUGUGAGGUCUGCACAAUUUAUCAAGCCCAGAGAGAUGAGACUGUGGAACUUCACCCAGGGGCAUUUUUUGUUGUUGUUGUUGUUUGUUUUGAGACGAAGUCUCACUCUGUCACCCAGGCUGGAGUGCAGUGGCAUGAUCUUGGCAUGCUGCAACCCUGCCUCUUGAGUUCAAGUGAUUCUCCUGCUUCAGCCUCCCACAUAGUUGGAAUUACAGGCACAUGCCACCACACACGGCUGAUUUUUGUAUUUUUAGUAGAGAUCGGGUUUCACCAUGUUGGCCAGGCUGGUCUCCAACUGCUGAUCUCACCUGAUUUGCCCACUUCGGCCUCCCAAAGUGCUGGGAUUAGGGGCAAUUCUUUAAAGACAUUUACUUUCUGACUAGCAGUCUCACCCAUUAUUUCUUUAUUAGGAAUUUGGAAAAUAAAAGAAUAUAUGCAGCCAAUCAAUAGCUUAUGCAUUUAAAUAUGAAUUCUUGGUAAAUAACUUAGGAACUGCCUUCUCACUUUUUCAAAAAGACUCACUUUCAAUGGCUGCUAAUUAAAAUAUAUAUUCAGGGCAACUUAAAUCUGUCCUCCUCUUGGCUAUCCUCAAUAUCUGACAUUGAGUAAAUGUAUUUCAGGUUACAUUUUAACCUUUUUUAUUAUUUUAAGUUGACUGAGGGCUGGCCUGGAACAUUCUCCUUGGUAUAAAUACUCCAACUAUAAGCUACCUGCUCAGUAGAGGAAACUAAUCAACAGCAGGGCCUAGCAUAGGUCAAAGACACAAGCAGUGGGAAGCUUUUUGGGGCCUGGCUCCUAAUUGCAAGGACAGUUGCACAGGUGUCUCUGAAUGCUUAGACAGCCUGGCCUUUCCUGACCCAAUGCCCCCCAUCAGCUUUUUCAAGCACAUCUUGAUCUUUUGUCAUUCUGUUCUCUGGGGUGAAAACUCAUCGUCAGGGCUGUCUACAACAAAACAGAAGUAUCAGGUUACUAAAACCUCAGGAACAGAGAUUACGGAUUGGGUUAAGAGUGUGCCCUUUCUUAAGGAUGGUACGCAUGGAAAAGCAGCAAGCAGUUUCAGAAAGAUACAGGAAAAAUUGCCUCUAACGGAUAUUUAUACUUCAACUCAAUUUAUUCUGUAAGUGGUAGGGAAAAUGGGAUAAAAUACCAUAUGUUCAAGCAUUUUUGCUUCUCAGUCAGAAUGAAACCCUGCAGCAGGCAUGUCCAUGUUUCAUGAGAGAAAUAGAAGAAAAAGAGUUGGACAUACAAGAUGAUCCUUAUUUCAAGCCCCCCUGCCACUUGGUUCAGCGGGCAUUUUUGGGUGAAGCAGAACCUUUCUGUCAGGUCUGAAGGUUCAGAUGUGUUGGUCUUUUUUCCCACUAAUACACCUGAAAGUUCUAUUGAGAACCAUUUGUCCCUCCUCCCUACCCUUCUAGUCCCACUCUGUACCCACCACUCCCUGAAGAACUUAGCCCAGUGAGUACUACUCAUAGUGGAGCUGCCUAUCAACCUCCAAGGGGAAAUCUUUGUCCACCUACAGAGGUUGCAAAUGGGGAAGAAGGCCUGUGAGAGGAGGUGUCCCCUUUUCUCUGUCUGGUUUGGCUCUAUAAUAAGACAAGUUUGGUCAUUUCUCUGAAGAUGCAGGAAAAUUCAUAGGUGAGUUUGAGAAGUUAACUCUGACCUACAGUUUAACAUGGCAGGAUCUGUACAUUUUGUUGUCUCUGUGUUAUACAGUGGAAGAAAAACAAUGCAUUUUGGGGACAGCUAGGACUCAUGCAGAUGAGGUAUUGGCUUGCAACCCGAACCAUAAUAUAUAUCAGACAGGAGGUAUAGCAGUUCCAGAUCAAGAUCUAGAGUGGAACUAUCAAAGGGGGUGUGAGGACUUGGAAGAAGAGAUCAUAUGGUCACUUGUUUGUUGAAAGAGAUGAAGAAAUGUAUGAAAAAACCUGUUAACAAUGAAAAGGUUAAGCAACUUUCUCAGGGCAAAGAUGACAAUCCAGCUUUGUUUUAAUAGUGUUUAGUUGAGGCAAUCAGAAAAUAUACUAACACUGAUCUUGCCUCAAUGAAAAGAUAGACCCUUCUGGGAGUACAUUUUAUAACCCAGUCUGCCCCUGAUAUCCAUAGAAAACUACUAAAAGCAGCUAUGGGUCCCCAAACUUCUCUGGAACAGCUUUGGAUAUGGCAUUUUUAGUUUUUAAUAACAGGGACAAAGCGGAGGUAGCGGAAAGAGGAAGAAGGACCUCCCACAAGUUGCAGGUCUUGGUUGCAACCUUAAGCUAACCUCCCACAUGGGGUUGCCCUCCUGGGUCUUGGGUUGAACAAGGGAAGCUGAAAGGUGGGAAGCCUAAACCUGGGUGUCCGAGUCACUGUGCCUUGGGCAUAAAUCAGGUUGCACACUGUAAGAAAACUGACCACUGGAAGAGGGUUUGUCCAGUGUUCUGAAGAGAGCCAUCAGCACGUGAACUAAUGAUGGGUAAAACAGCCAGGCAAGCACCCAAGAGUGACGGGGACUGAGACCUUCCACCACGGUUUCCAUCAGACAACUAGCCAUAUAUCUGGAAAAGCCUCAGUAUUUUUUGCCAUGGCAGUUAAGAAUAUGAAGUUUCACCAGGUGCGGUGGCUCACACCUGUAAUCCUAGCACUUUGGAAGGCCGAGGUGGGUGGAUGACUUGAGGUCAGGAGUUCAAGACUAGUCUGGCCAACAUGGUGAAACCCCAUCUCUACUAAAAAUACAAAAAAUUAGCCAGAAAUUGCUUGAACCUGAGAGGCGGAGGUUGCAGUGAGCUGAGAUCGUGCCACUGCACUCCAGCCUGGGAAACAGAGACUCCGUCUCAAAAAAAAAAAAAAAAAAAGGAAGCUAGAUGAGUUGCGAGUUGCCUCAUGCCUGUAAUCCCAGCACUUUGGGAGGCUGAGGUGGGUGGUCGGGAGUUCGAGACCAGCCUGAGCAACAAGGAGAAACCCCAUCUCUAGUAAAAAUACAAAAUUAGCUGGGCGUGGUGGCACAUGCUUGUAAUCCCAGCUACUCAGGAGGCUUAGGCAAGAGAUUCACAUAAACCCGGGAGGCCGAAGUUGCAGUGAGCUGAGAUCAUGCCACUGCACUCCAGCCUGGGCGACAGAGUGAGACUCCUUCUCAAAAAAAAAAAAAAAAGAAUAUUAACUUUCUUCUGGACUGCUUACUCUGUUUUGACCCAUUAUAAUGGGUCUGUUUCACCCCCAAACUGUAUGGUCACGGGGAUAGAUUGACAAGCCCAUAGAUGCCAUUUUACAUAAUCUCUAAGCUGUUUUUCAGUGACUUCGGUUUUCUUACAUAACUUCCUUAUCAUGCCCGGAUGCCUCAGGGAAGUCGUAGCAAUUUCUCUUUCAGUAGAUAAAGCCAAUAAACUGGCUUUAGAACAACAUUCUGAGGUUUAAGCCCACACCAAGUAUGAGGAGUUCUAUAAGCCAAAAGACACCAGUGGAUGACAGGGGACACUUAUUGAAAUAGCAGACAUUUUGCUAGACACUCCAAUUAACCUGAUAUGAGGUGCUAAUCAAUAAAAAAUAGUUAAACAUUUGCAUGACUCUACUCAUUUGGGAAUAAAUUCCCUGUUUAAUAUCUCGGCUUUUUAUAGAAAAAUAAUUACUUAAAAGAGUAAACCAGGUAACCCAGGCCUGUGAACUAUAUGCCUGGAACAACCCAAAUGACCAAUGUUUACCUCCUCCUUUAGUAAGGCCUGUUCAGCAUAGAGGAGCAUACCCUGGUGAAGACUGGCAAAUAGACUAUACUCAGAUGCCCCCGUGUAAAGGGUUUAAAUAUUGAUUAGUAUUCAUUGACACCUUUACCGUUUGGAUUGAGGCUUUUCCUACCAAGUCUGAAAAGGCAAUCAAGGUUUCUAAACUACUAAAAGAAAUAAUUCCGAUGGGUACAGUAUCUCACGCCUGUAAUCCCUGCACAUUGGGAGGCCAAGGCAGGUGGAUCACCUGAGGUCAGGAGUUCGAGACCAGCCUGGCUAACAUGGCGAAACCCCGUCUCUACUAAAAAUACAAAAAUUAGCUGGGUGUGGUGGUGUGCACCUGUAGUCCUAGCUACUCUGGAGGAUGAGGCAUGAGAAUCACUUGAACCUUGGAGGCAGAGGUUGCAGUGAACCAAGAUUGUGCCAUUGCACUCCAGCCUGGGCAACAAGAGUGAAACUCUGCCUCAAAAGAAAAAAAAAAAAAGAUAAUAUCGAGUCUCGCAAAAUAUAGUAAUUAAGAAGAUUCUUUAUCACAAACCCUUGUGGCAGAGCACAUCUCCUCAUAGGUAAAAACAUUGUAACUAUGGUAAAUGUGUUCCUCAAUAGUAAAUUAAUUAUUAAACUUAUUCAAAAUUAUUUUAUUUAAUUUUUCAGAACAAUGCUUAUGUUUUGUAUAGCUAAUUGCUGUAAUUCUUUAACAAAAACUGGGCCAGACACAGUGGGUCAUGCCUGUAAUCCCAGCACUUUGGGAGGCCGAGGCGGGCGGAUCACGAGGUCAGGAGAUCGAGACCGUCCUGGCUAACACGGUGCAACCCCAUCUAUACUAAAA
rnacentral:lncRNA from 1 species